rnacentral:rRNA from 1 species
AAGGCCAGGCUGAAGACUUUGCCGGAUUAGCUGAGAGGUGGUGCAUGGCCGUCGUCAGUUCGUACUGUGAAGCAUCCUGUUAAGUCAGGCAACGAGCGAGACCCACGCCCACAGUUGCCAGCGUACUCUCUGGAGUGACGGGUACACUGUGGGGACCGCCGCUGCUAAAGCGGAGGAAGGAAUGGGCAACGGUAGGUCAGUAUGCCCCGAAUAUCCCGGGCUACACGCGAGCUACAAUGGUUGGUACAAUGGGUAUCUACCCCGAAAGGGGACGGGAAUCUCCUAAAACCAAUCUUAGUUCGGAUUGAGGGCUGCAACUCGCCCUCAUGAAGCUGGAAUCCGUAGUAAUCGCGUUUCAACAGAACGCGGUGAAUACGUCCCUGCUCCUUGU